rnacentral:rRNA from 1 species
UACAGAGGUCCCGAGCGUUGGUCGGAUUCACUGGGCGUAAAGGGUGCGUAGGUGGUGAGGUAAGUCGGAUGUGAAAUCUCCGGGCUCAACCCGGAAAUGGCAUUGGAAGCUACCUUGCUUGAGGAUUUGAGGGGGGAUUGGAAUACUUGGUGUAGCAGUGAAAUGCGUAGAUAUCAAGUGGAACACCAGUGGCGAAGGCGGCAUCCUGGACCGACAUUGACGCUGAGGAGCGAAAGCUAGGGGAGCAAACGGG